CCUACGGGUGGCAGCAGUGAGGAAUAUUGGUCAAUGGGCGGGAGCCUGAACCAGCCAAGUCGCGUGAGGGACGACGGUCCUAUGGAUUGUAAACCUCUUUUGUCGGGGAACAAAAGAGGCCACGGGUGGCCGGCUGAGUGUACCCGAAGAAAAAGCAUCGGCUAACUCCGUGCCAGCAGCCGCGGUAAUACGGAGGAUGCGAGCGUUAUCCGGAUUUAUUGGGUUUAAAGGGUGCGUAGGCGGACGGUCAAGUCAGCGGUAAAAUUGCGGUGCUCAACGGCGUCGAGCCGUUGAAACUGGCAUUCUGGAGUGGGCGAGAAGUAUGCGGAAUGCGUGGUGUAGCGGUGAAAUGCAUAGAUAUCACGCAGAACUCCGAUUGCGAAGGCAGCAUACCGGCGCCCGACUGACGCUGAUGCACGAAAGCGUGGGUAUCAAACAGGAUUAGAUACCAGUGUAGUC
rnacentral:rRNA from 1 species